UGUAGUAAUACAAGGCAGACGGCUCAGUAACGCGUAGUCAACCUAACCUAUGGACGGGAAUAACCUCGGGAAACUGAGAAUAAUGCCCGAUAGAACACUAUACCUGGAAUGGUUUGUGUUCCAAAUGAUUUAUCGCCGUAGGAUGGGACUGCGGCCUAUCAGUUUGUUGGUGAGGUAAUGGCCCACCAAGACUAUUACAGGUACGGGCUCUGAGAGGAGUAGCCCGGAGAUGGGUACUGAGACACGGACCCAGGCCCUAUGGGGCGCAGCAGGCGAGAAAACUUUGCAAUGUGCGAAAGCACGACAAGGUUAAUCCGAGUGGUUUCUGCUAAAGGAACCUUUUGUCGGUCCUAGAAACACCGAUGAAUAAGGGGUGGGCAGGUUCUGGUGUCAGCCGCCGCGGUAAAACCAGCACCUCAAGUGGUCAGGAUGAUUAUUGGGCCUAAAGCAUCCGUAGCCGGCUCUGUAAGUUUUCGGUUAAAUCUGUACGCUCAACGUACAGGCUGCCGGGAAUACUGCAGAGCUAGGGAGUGGGAGAGGUAGACGGUACUCGGUAGGAAGGGGUAAAAUCCUUUGAUCUAUUGAUGACCACCUGUGGCGAAGGCGGUCUACCAGAACACGUCCGACGGUGAGGGAUGAAAGCUGGGGGAGCAAACCGGAUUAGAUACCCGGGUAGUCCCAGCUGUAAACUAUGCAAACUCAGUGAUGCAUUGGCUUGUGGCCAAUGCAGUGCUGCAGGGAAGCCGUUAAGUUUGCCGCCUGGGAAGUACGUACGCAAGUAUGAAACUUAAAGGAAUUGGCGGGGGAGCACCACAAGGGGUGAAGCCUGCGGUUCAAUUGGA
rnacentral:rRNA from 1 species